rnacentral:rRNA from 1 species
AUUGAACGCUGGCGGCAUGCCUUACACAUGCAAGUCGAACGGCAGCACGGGUGCUUGCACCUGGUGGCGAGUGGCGAACGGGUGAGUAAUACAUCGGAACAUGUCCUGUAGUGGGGGAUAGCCCGGCGAAAGCCGGAUUAAUACCGCAUACGAUCUACGGAUGAAAGCGGGGGACCUUCGGGCCUCGCGCUAUAGGGUUGGCCGAUGGCUGAUUAGCUAGUUGGUGGGGUAAAGGCCUACCAAGGCGACGAUCAGUAGCUGGUCUGAGAGGACGACCAGCCACACUGGGACUGAGACACGGCCCAGACUCCUACGGGAGGCAGCAGUGGGGAAUUUUGGACAAUGGGCGAAAGCCUGAUCCAGCAAUACCGCGUGUGUGAAGAAGGCCUUCGGGUUGUAAAGCACUUUUGUCCGGAAAGAAAUCCUUGGCCCUAAUACGGUCGGGGGAUGACGGUACCGGAAGAAUAAGCACCGGCUAACUACGUG